rnacentral:tRNA from 1 species
GCUGUUGUAGCUCAGUGGUAGAGCACUUCCUUGGUAAGGAAGAGGUCACGAGUUCAAGCCUCGUCAACAGCUCGA